CACGUAGGGUGCGAGCGUUGUCCGGAAUUAUUGGGCGUAAAGAGCUCGUAGGCGGUGUGUCGCGUCGGCCGUGAAAACCUGCAGCUUAACUGUGGGCUUGCGGUCGAUACGGGCAUCACUGGAGUUCGGCAGGGGAGAGUGGAAUUCCCGGUGUAGCGGUGAAAUGCGCAGAUAUCGGGAAGAACACCUAUGGCGAAGGCAGCUCUCUGGGACGGUACUGACGCUGAGACGCGAAAAGCGUGGGGGAGCGAACAGGG
rnacentral:rRNA from 1 species